rnacentral:lncRNA from 1 species
CAGGAACAAGCUGGACACAGGAGAUAGAUGGAGGCCUUCUCUCCAACUGUUGACACCAGCCAAACAGGAUAAAUAGUUCAUAUUGUAAUGAUGACAAUGAUAAUGAUGAAGAGAAAGCAUUGACCCAGAUGAAAAAAAGUUUUGAUUUUAAGCUCUGCUUAAGCCCUGAAGUCCUGCUGUCAGAGCCACUUACAUGAUCCGAGGGACUUUUGACUACAAAGACGGGAAUUUAAGGGAGCAACAUGAAGCCUUGACCCCUACUGCUUCACUCUCCACCAGAAUUGUCAUAACAUCAACAGAGUUCCUGCCAUUUGUGACCACCUUAUGACCAGGCAAUUCUACUUGCCUUAUCUCCUUGGCCAAAAGGCAAGUCUCCUGGCCAUUAGUCUACAGUGUUGACCACCCCUCCUCCUGGAAACACUGUCUUUUCUUGGCUUCAGUGACACAGGACUCUCAUGGUUUCCUCUGACAGCUAAUUUACUCUCUCUUUUGCAGCCUUAUCUAUUCUUCCCAGGUCAAUAAAUAUUGAAAUACCCAAGGCUCAAUCCUGGACACUCUUCUCUUCUUAUUCU